rnacentral:rRNA from 1 species
CAGUCGCCGCGGUAAUACCAGCAGCCCAAGUGGUGGUCGCGUUUAUUGGGCCUAAAGCGCUCGUAGCCUGGCCGGUAAGUUCCCCGUGAAAUCGGGUCGCCCAACGAUUCGGCUUGCGGGGAAUACUGUCGGUCUUGGGGCCGGGAGACGCCGAGGGUACUCCGGGGGUAGCGGUGAAAUGCUGUAAUCCUCGGGGGACUACCAGUGGCGAAGGCGCUCGGCGAUAACGGGCCUGACGGUGAGGGGCGAAAGCUGGGGGCGCGAACGGGAUUAGAUACCCCUGUAGUCCCUGUCUCUUAUA